UAAAACUGUAAUUAGAAUAUUAUAUUGUUUUUUUUUUAGUUUAGUUUUUUUUUAUUUUUUUUUAUUUUUUUAACAGGGCAUAGCUACAACUUAACUUGGAAGGUGAAAUGCAAGGAUUUCCACUAUAUUGCUUGUUAUUUUCAGCUACUGUUUAAAGAGCCCUGGAAUGUUUAAAGGAGUCCAUUGACUGCUUCCUGUCUAUUGUCACCUUUCCUCUCCAUCCACAGAUUCUCACAGAAAAACAAUACACUACCCCCACAAGUGCAACUGAAACACUGUCAAGAAACCAAUAUUCACACUUCUAUUGAGAGGCAGAGAGUAAGAUUCAGUUUACUAGAAGAGGAGUUGUAGUGACAGGUUCAUUUUCUAUACAAAAAAAAUAACUUAAUGUGGUGAGCUAUGAAUUACUUUUUAAGGCAGAAAGAACUUCAUUGUAAAGUCUAGAAAACAGGAUCUACUUCAUCACUGCUCAUUGUAUUUAAAUUGGUUUUGUCACUCCUGUUUCUUUUAACUUUUGUAUCUGUAUGUGAAUGCCCCCAACCCAUUAUUUCUCUCAAUUCUGCUCUGGAAAACCGACUAAAAUGCUUUUGUUACAGUACCACAGAAAUACAGAAUAUGAUAUUGUUUGGAUGAGUGAUUGUCCAGUGUUCUGCUGUGUGAAUUUUCAGUGUUUCUGACAUAUGUUUGGCUAGUUGUCCGGCUGGCUUUAUAUCAUAAUACCAGCCUGACAAGAAACUUUGCACAGGUAAGAGAGAGCCUGGG